GCCAGAUGCAGCUGUGCACACCUGUAAUCCCAGCAACUUGGGAGGCUGAGGCAGGAGGAUCACAAGCUCAAGGCCAGCCUCAGUAAUUUAGUGAGGUCCUAAGCAACUUAGUGAGACCCUGUCUCAG
rnacentral:sRNA from 1 species